rnacentral:rRNA from 1 species
UGGGGAAUCUUGGACAAUGGGCGCAAGCCUGAUCCAGCCAUGCCGCGUGGGUGAAGAAGGCCUUCGGGUUGUAAAGCUCUUUUACCAGGGACGAUAAUGACGGUACCUGGAGAAUAAGCCCCGGCAAACUUCGUGCCAGCAGCCGCGGUAAUACGAAGGGGGCUAGCGUUGUUCGGAAUUACUGGGCGUAAAGCGCACGUAGGCGGAUUGUUAAGUCAGAGGUGAAAUCCCGGAGCUCAACUUCGGAACUGCCUUUGAUACUGGCAAUCUAGAGUCCGGAAGAGGUUAGUGGAAUUCCUAGUGUAGAGGUGAAAUUCGUAGAUAUUAGGAAGAACACCGGUGGCGAAGGCGGCCCACUGGCUCGGUACUGACACUGAGGUGCGAAAGCGUGGGGAGCAAACAGGAUUAGAUACCCCAGUAGUCCCUG